rnacentral:rRNA from 1 species
UACGGAGGGUGCGAGCGUUGUCCGGAAUCACUGGGCGUAAAGGGCGCGUAGGCGGCGCAGAAAGUCAACGGUGAAAGCUUGGGGCUCAACCCCGAGUCGGCCGUCGAUACUUCCGUGCUCGAGCACUGUAGAGGCAGGUGGAAUUCCGGGUGUAGCGGUGGAAUGCGUAGAGAUCCGGAAGAACACCGGUGGCGAAGGCGGCCUGCUGGGCAGUAGCUGACGCUGAGGAGCGAAAGCGUGGGGAGCGAACAGG